UGUUCAAAAGUGCAGGCGGUGGCAAAACAGGAAUGUGUGGAUAAAUCAAAUAACAUCACUAAUCGGCAAAUGAAACAAAAGAUUACUGUAAGGAAGAAUGACUGUUUGAAAAUGGAGAAUGAAAACACGAUAGAAGAAAAAGACAAAAAGAUUUUUUCAUCUGGGGAGAGCUCAAAAUUAUUAAAGUGCCAAUGAAAGGGCAGCACCAGUCCCGCUGUGUCACCACAUUUCCUUCUCAACCUGGACUUGGGACAGAGACCAGUCCUGCAGACACCUCGGCAAGGAGGAGCCCUUGAUGAGGACGACGACGAGCCGCUUUUGGACAUACAGGAAAACUCUGUGCAACUCCCAUGUACACACUGCACAAAGGAAACAGCUUUAAGCAACCACCGGUGAAACGUGGAAGCCUUUUAAGAUCUCUGGAGCUGGCACAGGAAUGCUUUCUACCCCCCAUACAAAAGGCAUUUCAGUUUCAGGUCAGACUGUCUAGGUGGUAUUUCCAUGCAUUUCUGCAGAAUUAAAGAAGCUAACAGACAAAAAGCCCAGAUCAAGCCAUAUUAGUCAGGCCGAUUGGUUCUACCAAGUUAGAUCAAUAGUGAUUAUGAACAAACGGACCAAGUGACCAAAGACUGGGGCUGAGAAUACCACUUUUUGAGAUGUGGUUUCUUUUCACUGUACUACCCAUAGAACUGGAGCACUCUGAUAGAAGUAUCGGCAUUUGUAGACGCCUCAGAAGCAUCUGACCCGCUAGUAAGUGUGUAUUAGAGAAACGAAGGUAGUUCUAAAUUAAACUAUGUCAACAGAAAAGUAGUUGAUAGAAUCCCUCAGGCUGAAGGAGAACUCAAGGCACUUCAUAACAAGAACACUGAACCUCUAGAACAAGUGAACCUUUAAAUAUUAUUACUGCACCGUGAGUUUACAAGAGUGGAUUAGGACUAUUUCUCCAGAAAAAUGUGUCUAUUUUAUGUCUGUUUCACUUCAGGAUUGGCCUUUAUUAGUACUGCUCUGCAACUGCUAGCACUAAGAAUUUAACCCAGUUUUUGUGCCAACAGGUUGUUUUAGCCUAACUUUCACUACAGGUUUUCAGUUCUGUAUAAAGUGGUUACAGGGGAAACUGUUUCUGAGUUUGGCCAUUUGACCAGCAGCCUCAAAAAGACUGACUGAAUUUUGCUUUUUACAACUCGGAAAAUUAAGAACAGGA